rnacentral:rRNA from 1 species
UACAGAGGAUGCAAGCGUUAUCCGGAAUGAUUGGGCGUAAAGCGUCUGUAGGUGGCUUUUUAAGUCCGCCGUCAAAUCCCAGGGCUCAACUCUGGACAGGCGGUGGAAACUACCAAGCUGGAGUACGGUAGGGGCAGAGGGAAUUUCCGGUGGAGCGGUGAAAUGCGUAGAGAUCGGAAGGAACGCCGGUGGCGAAAGCGACGCACUGGACCUCUUCUGACGCUGAGGCGCGAAAGCCAGGGGAGCAAACGGG